rnacentral:rRNA from 1 species
UGCUGCCGUGUGGCAGGGAGCGGUGGAAAUCGGAAGGGGGGUAGGGUGUGGCGGAAGUACUUGGCGGAAAGAGCGCGCAGGCGGUUCUCCAAGUCAGUGGUGAAAGCCCGGAUGUCAACUCCGGAAUUGCCAUUGAAACUGUUGAACGUGAGGAUGAGAGAGGUGAGUGGAAUUCCCAGUGUAGAGGUGAAAUUCGUAGAUAUUGGGAAGAACACCGGUGGCGAAGGCGGCUCACUGGCUCAUUACUGACGCUCAGGCGCGAUAGCGUGGGGAUCAAACAGGAUUAGAUACCGAGUAGUC